rnacentral:rRNA from 1 species
UACGGGGGGGGCAAGCGUUGUUCGGAAUUACUGGGCGUAAAGGGCUCGUAGGCGGCCAACUAAGUCAUACGUGAAAUCCCUCGGCUUAACCGGGGAACUGCGUCUGAUACUGGAUGGCUUGAGUAUGGGAGAGGUGAGUGGAAUUUCCGGUGUAGCGGUGAAAUGCGUAGAUAUCGGAAGGAACACCUGUGGCGAAAGCGGCUCACUGGACCAUAACUGACGCUGAGGCGCGAAAGCUAGGGGAGCAAACAGG